rnacentral:rRNA from 1 species
GCCGUGGAACCACCUGAUCCCAUGCCGAACUCAGAAGUGAAACGCGGUAGCGCCGAUGGUAGUGUGGCAUUCGCCAUGCGAGAGUAGGAC